GUAGAUGCUCAUUCCACCCAUUAUGUUUGCCCCGGCUUCAUAAACCUGGGAAUGAUGCAGAGCCAAUUUACAGUGCCUAUUGUCAUCCUGACCGAUAACGCGCAAGCGCUAUCAUCCAGAAGGCAAAACGUUGAGUGAGGCACUAAAUCUGUUGUCCUAGACCUGAUUGUUUUUAGACACUUGUCUUCCAGACAAGUGUUUUUUU
rnacentral:sRNA from 1 species